rnacentral:lncRNA from 1 species
CUAGGUUUCCAUGGGGAAGAAAGCAUUAAACAAAAACAAAAACAGAAAAUCCAGGCAUGUCUUUAUAAGUCUUGCCCUAGAAGGACAACCAUCUUGGCAGGAAUAAAAGCACACUGAAGUAAGUCCUUAUUGGAAAUGAAAACAGCAACAUCACAGGAGCCCCAGAAGGGAGUAGCCGUGAGCAACCUCACCUCUGAUGAGGCAGGAGUCAUCAUGAUGGCUGCACCAAGAGCCCAGCCAAGGAGCCAGGAGUUGCUGGAUUUUUCCAGCAUCUCCUUCAAGUUUCUUACCAUUCUUGAUGAUGCCUGCUUCCUGGAAACUUUGGACGCCUUCCUGCUUGUCCUUGGAAGAACUCCAUAGAAGUUCGGUGGAGUAAGGCAGAAGGUGGGGAGCCAAGCUUUCCUCUGAUCUGUUGUUCCUUCUUCAUCCAUCAGUUGCUUUAAAAAGAUCCAUGUGCUGAAUCAAAAAUAUAGCUUCUAUGUUGUACCUGACUCAAACUCCAUAUGGAAAGCGCAGAACUUGUGUUUUCUCUUUUUCUUCUUUUAAUGUAUGAACACGAGGGAUCUUCAAGAAAUUCAUGAAAAAUAAGUAUCAUGGGGGCCAGCGCUGUGGCGCAGUGGGUUAACACACUGUCCUGAAGCACCAACAUCCCAUAUAGGCGCCAGUUCGAGACCUGGCUGCUCCACUUCUGAUCCAGCUCCCUGCUGUGGCCUGGGAAAGCAGUAGGUGGUCCAAGUCCUUGGGCCCCUGCACCUGCAUGGGAGACCUGGAGGAAGCUUCUGGCUCCUGGUUUUAGAUCAGCAUAGCUUGCGGCCCAUUGGGGAAUGAACCAGCGGAUGGAAGACCUUUCUCUCUCUCUCUCUCUGCCUCUCCUCUCUCUGUGUAACUCUAACUUUCAAAUAAAUAAUAAAUAAAUCUUUAAAAAAUAAGUAUC